UACGUAGGGUGCAAGCGUUAAUCGGAAUUACUGGGCGUAAAGCGUGCGCAGGCGGUUAUGUAAGACAGAGGUGAAAUCCCCGGGCUCAACCUGGGAACUGCCUUUGUGACUGCAUAGCUAGAGUACGGCAGAGGGGGAUGGAAUUCCGCGUGUAGCAGUGAAAUGCGUAGAUAUGCGGAGGAACACCGAUGGCGAAGGCAGCCUCCUGGGCCAGUACUGACGCUCAUGCACGAAAGCGUGGGGAGCAAACAGGAUUAGAAACCCGUGUAGU
rnacentral:rRNA from 1 species